AUUUUUAAGUAUAUAUUUUAAAUUAGCUUACAAAGGAGUGGAUUACUAUAAGGUCUUUUCGUACAUCCUUAGUUUCAGGUCCCCCUCCUCCACAACCCUCUCCUGUUUCCUCUUCCUGGCCAACAUUCAGCUUAGACCUCUUCAUCCCCAACAUCUCUCCGAUCUACUCUAAUAUCAUGUGCUCUACAGCCCCUCCCCUCCUCCCAUGAGAUGCUUCCUGUCUCAUGGGGCCUUGCUAGUUUCUUAACCCCUGCAGACAUUCCAAAUUAAACAUACAAGUCCAAAAGGUCACAGCGAGGAUUUGCAUAUGAGGAGAAUGUAUGGUGUGUGUCUACUGAGCCAGGGCUGCCUUACUCAGCCUUACUCAGUGUAUUUUCAGUUCUAGCCUUUCUUCUACAAAGUCAUAUGUCUUUAUUCCCCAGUGUACCCACCACAUUUUCAUGGUCCGUUCAUUGGUUACCGGGUGUCCUUGAUUGUGACUGGAGCAGCAGUGAACAUUGCUUGCCAGUGUUUCUCUCUGUAGUUGGAAUCAGAGCCCUCUGGGGGCUAUGCCCGGGUAUGACGUAACCGGGUCACGUGAUAGCUCUAUUUUUAGUUGUGGGUUUUUUUGUUUUGUUUUAUUUUUUGAGAAACCGCCACAGUGAUUUUCAAAGUGACUGUGCCACUUUAGAUUCCCACCAACAGUGGCCACGUCUUUUCUCCCACAUCCUUACCUGCAUUUCUUGUCACUUGUUCUCGAAAUGACAGUCUUUCUGACAAAGGUUAGAAAAAUCACCUGAAAUGUCAAUACUUUGCAUUUCUCUGAUGGGCAAGAAUGUUGAACACUUGUAAAAACUAUUUACUAACAAUUUGUAUUUCUGGGGCACCCAUGUCAGGUGGCUCACAACCUUCUGUAACUCCAUCUCCUCUGUCCUCCUGCACUCACACAUACAGAUUCACAUGCGAGCGCUCUCGCUUGCUUUCUCUCUCUCAUCCAUACCACAUACAAUUUAAAUUAGUAAAAUUAGAAAUUUAAAAGCACUUUGUCUUUCUUCUUGGGUUGUGCCAGCCGAAGAAGAUAUAUGCAUAAGUCUGUGCAUAGAUCUUGGAGUGCUUUCUCUCCUUUCCCUCUAGCAGUUGCAGACUCUUAGAGCUGAGUGUUGAUCCGUUUAGGGCUGAGUGUUGUCCGGGGUGAAAGGAAGGCCCAGUUUCAUUCCUCUCCGGCCUCUGCCCAGUGUCCCCAGCACUGCUGGUGACGAGACUGGUUUCUCCUGUGUGUGCAAAGACCAGUGGCUUUAGUUCCAUGGCCUUCUCUCUGGCUCCCUGAUUCUGUUCCAUUGAUCUAUGUGUGCGUCUGAUUUUGUGUUAGUGCCAUGCUAUUUUUAUUACUAUCACUCUUUAGUACAGCUUGAAAUCAAGGACGGUUAUCAUCCAGCACACCCUUUUGUUUAGGAUUGCUCUGGCUAUCUAAACUCUCUUGUGCUUCCAUAUGGAUUUUAAUAUUGUUCUCUCUGUGCUGAGAUGAGAGGGUGUUAGUAUUUAAUGGGGAUUGCACACAGUAUGUCAGUUGCUGUCAGAUGGCUGUUUUUCCGGAUACUCCUGCCCCUGAGCAUGGAGCUUUCCUUUUCUCUCUCAUGUCUUUCCCCUUCUUCAGUGCACUAAACAUUUCGUGUUGACAUCUUUCUCCUCCUUGAUUAGCUUUCUUUCAAGGUUUGUUUCAAGGCCGUUGUGAAUGAAAUUGUUUCUCUUAUUUCUUGAUGUAUUUGGCAUUGGUUACAAAGGCUGUUGUCUCUUUCACUAGCGUUGUGAAAGUGUUUGUGAAUUCUCGGGGUCUUCUGCAUAAAGACUCAGCUCACCUGCAAAUAAGCAGACUCUGACAUCUUUCUUUCCUAUUUAUGUCCUUUUUGUUAUCUUCUCUUGUUUGACUGCUUUAACUACCAUUUCCUGUACAAUAUUGAAUGUAAGUGAAGAAAAUGUAUACCCUUUUCUUGUUCUUUUUUUUUUUUUUUUUUUUUUUUUGGUUGUUUGAGACAGGGUUUCUCUUUGUAGCCCUGGAUGUCCUGAACUCACUUUGUAGACCAGGCUGGCCUCCCUUUUCUUGUUCUUGAUUUUAAUGGGACACUUGGUGUUCUCACUGUUUAAUUGUGUGUUAGCCAUAGGCUGUGUGUAUAGAGCCUUUGUUAGGUUGAAAAGUCCUUCUCUUUGGAGUUUCUUAAGAACUUUUUUCAAGAAAAGAUGUUGGAAUUUUUGUCAAAAACCUUUUCUUCCUCUAUCAAGUUGAUCAUAUGGAGCUGGGGAUUUAGUUCAGUGGUAAAGUGCUUGCUGGGCCCUGGAUUUGGUCCUCAGCUCGGAAAAGGAAAAGAAAAAGG
rnacentral:lncRNA from 1 species